rnacentral:lncRNA from 1 species
CGGAGGAGUCUUCACCGAUAUUGAUUCCUCGGGGCAUCAGCUGCUGAGGGUGGGAAAGCGGUGGCCACCUCGGAUGGCAUGCCUCAUGAAGAACAGAUGCUUGGACUUCACCGACGGGGAAUCCUGUUAUUGCCAGAAUCUGGCUGGAAAUGAUACACUGAGUCUGCCCUCAAAGAUGUAUUUUGGAUGCCUUUGCUCUUCCUGUGGCGUGGAUGUUGCUGCUGCCUUCCAUGGGUAAUCAUUUCAGAAUUUGUCGCUCAGAUGUUAACUACCUAAGUAGGGCUACCCAGAUCAAUACUUUCAGAUUAACCUUAUUUCUAGUUCACUUAUCUCAUAUGCUAUCACCCAGGCCUAAUCAUCUGUCCUGAUGUUGUGCUUCCGCCAUAUGGAUCUUCAUUAGUCUCUUUGCCGUCAAUUCUGUUCCUCUUCAAACUGAGUGUCACAUCACUUGUCCGGCCAACUGCACAUAUAUAUUUGUAUCUGCCUGGAAAAUUUUAAUAUGUUCUUCAGCUCACAUCAUUUUAAUCCCAUUGUCCCCAGCAUGUUGAAGACAUUUCUUGUUAUGCGUAAAACAAA